CCUUGGAAAAGAAAGACUAGAAGGAAGAUUGGUGGUGUGAUAUAACCCUAGACAGAAACUAAGCACUAUGCAGCUGCCCACUCGCUUCCUGAGAGGGGGAGAACUCAAAAAAGUAUGAAGACAUCAAUGGCUUUGGAAUGUUUCAGUUUGUAUGUGAUUUCACAUUUCCCGGGUGCUGGAUCAGAGAUUCUCCUGCGGCCUGUGGUGCAGAUCAUGGUGAGGUAGCUGACUCUCAGUGGAGGUCCACGGUGGAGCAAAUAUCAACAUUGGAAGCAGGUAUCCCAUGGAGCAUCUCACCCUGGAGCAGAGGGAUGCCUGAAGGAGGCUGUGACCCCGUGGGAAGCCUGUGCUGGAGCAGGCUCCUGGCAGGACCUGUGGCCUCAUGGAGAAAGGAACCCACCCUGAAAGAGGUUUGCUAG
rnacentral:lncRNA from 1 species